AAUUUGCCUCAAUUGAGGCAAAAAGCUUCCGCAUUACGCAAACCCGAGGUUCCCUUGGGUUUGCGUAAUGCGACCCCAUGCCUUAUUAUGCUGUAUUAUAAUGCAGUAUAAUGAGGUCUCAAAUUUUACCAAACAACUUCUUGGUAAUAAAUUAAUGUGAAUAGUGGUAUAAUACCACACAAUCCCAUGCACUAAACGCGCCCUUAAUGCAUGAAAUAUAAAAUCAUAAAAUUACAAGUAUAUCAAGCUAUCUAAUUCAUGAAGCAUAAAUUCAUAUAAUAACAAACAUAUCAAGCCAUGUAGUAAAACAUAAAUCAAGAUGCAACAUUCAUCAUUCCAACAAACAUUAAACAACAAACAUUAAACAUUUUACUUAAAAUAUGCAACAGCGAACAUAAAUAUAUGAGUACCUCCAUAACAGUGAACAUACAACGUCAAACAUGAAACGUAGAACAGCAAACAUGAAACGUGGAACGUAAACAUGAAACGGGGGCAAAAAAGAAAAAUUUCGGGGUAUUUGAAAAAUCAGUACAUGAAACAUUGCACAACCAACAUGAAACAUAUCACUUAAAAUAUGCAACAACAAACAUAAAAUAUGAGUCCCUCCGUAACAUGGAACAUGAAACGUAGAACAACAAACAUAGAACAUCAAACAUGAAACAUAGAACGUAAACAUGAAACGGGUGCAAAAAAAAAAAUUUCGGGGUAUUUGAAAAAUCAGUACAUGAAACAUUGCACAACCAACAUGAAACAUAUCACUUAAAAUAUGCAACAACGAACAUAAAAUAUGAGUCCCUCCGUAACAGUGAACAUGAAACAUAAAACAUGAAACAUAGAACAUCAAACAUGAAACAUAGAACGUAAACAUGAAACGGGUGCAAAAAAAAAAAUUUCGGGGUAUUUGAAAAAUCAGUACAUGAAACAUUGCACAACCAACAUGAAACAUAUCACUUAAAAUAUGCAACAACAAACAUAAAAUAUGAGUCUCUCCGUAACAGUGAACAUGAAACAUAAAACAUGAAACAUAGAACAUCAAACAUGAAAUAUAGAACGUAAACAUGAAACGGGUGCAAAAAAAAAAAUUUUGGGGUAUUUGAAAAAUCAGUACAUGAAAUAUAAAACAUAAAAUAUGAAACUUAAAAUGUUAAACAUGAGAUAAAUUUCAUAGAAAAUGAAUAAAAUUUUUGUCUUUUUGUUAACACACAUUUUAU
rnacentral:lncRNA from 1 species